AUGCGCAGUGUCACUUUGCUCAGAGCCGUGCGAGGGUGACCGACGCGAUUGGAAAUGGGUGAGAGCGGGCGGAUCAGGUCGGGAAAGCGAGAGCCGGGAGUUAGAAGAUUCAAAGACUGCCAGAUUUUUCUCUGACUCCAGUGCUCCUGAUAUCUUUUCAGCUGCAGGCUCCAGCAGAUUCUAAGUUUGAAAUUGUUUCAGAGGUAUCUGGAUGUAAAUCUGAUUUCAGACCUUCCUCUGAAUAGUUUUCAAACUGACUCCAGCUCAUUGUCCUUCACAAAGACCCGGAUGGAAAACACUCAGCACAAGAUGGCGGCGGCCAGUUGCCCUGGUAACCCGGGCCUGUCACCGGGGAGGAAGCCCCGUCCUCACUCACCCCUUCCCUCACCAAGAUGGCCGCCCAUGUGCCUGCUCCCUCAACAAGACUCGCCUUCCUCUGCCAAGAUGGCAGCGGAUGGUUAAGCCCCCCUCCCAGUGCGCGGGUGCAGUGUGGGUGUGCGCUCUGAGCAUGCUCAGUGUCAGUCAUGGUGACUGAGUGAGGAGGAGCGGACGGUUCGGGAGGCGGGAGGAGAUUGUGAGCACAGGGUAGGAAUGGAAACCGCGGCUGGACUGGGAACUGGAUAAACUUCUGGGAUAGGCCCCAGGCCAUGUGUUUACCCCGCGGUGACAGGCCCGGGUGGAGGGAGCGAUGGAGCCGGCGGCUGGAUGGGGAGGAUUUGGAAACACUUUGUGGGUCCGCAAACCCUGAGGAAUAAUUGUCAGCUCCUGGUUUGCAGCUGCGGGGCUUCUCCCUCCCGGGAACAGGCCCAGGUUAACGGCCGCCAUCCUGGGUCAGCGAGUGGAGGAUGGUUCACAUCAGAGGAUGGGGGAGGGGGGACAAUAAAUAAGAGGUUACACUUUGGGCUUAAAUCAAUGAGGAAUCUGAUCUGUGUUUGGGAAACUUAACAAAUGGCCCCUUGUAAAACAUGAUCUCCAGUUGUAAAAUUUAUUAAAAGGAUACAAAGAAUUAUCCAACACUUUAUUUGAAUUUCAGCCCAGGGAGGAGGGAGAGUGUGUGGGAUGGGGAUUUACAGCUUUGGGGGAACAAGAGAGGAAAAAAUGUUCCAUAGAAACUAAAAUUAACUGUUCUGAAUUUCUAUGCUGUGCUUACAAUGAGGACUUUUGAAACCUGUGCUUACAGGGGCAUCAGAAGGGAGAAUUUAUAGACUGGUAACUCAAACAACACAUCACAUCAAGAUCUAACAGAGUCACUUGAUUCAUCAGGAGUUGAAUAUCACCGGCCUUUCAAUGUGGAAGGAGAAAUAUUUGCCUAUUCUGACUGUAGAAAAAAAAAAUCACUCAUCCAUAUGACUGGAAAAGCACCGAGACACACACACACCGGUGAGAGUGUUCCAGUGCACUGACUGUGCAAAGAGCUUUAGCUAGUUACGUAACCUGAAAAAAAUUACAGCAUUUACGGUGGGGAGAAACCGUACACGUGUCUGUGUGUUUGGACAAGGAUCCAACCUGGAGAGACACAAGGACACCCACACCAAGGAGAAACCAUGGAAAUGUGGGGACUGUGGAGCUGGAUUCAUUUCCCCAUCCCAGCUGGAAAUUCAUUGGCGUAUUCACACUGGGGAGAGGCCAUUCACCUGCAUCGAUUGUGGGAAGGGUUUCACGCAGUUAUCAAAUCUUCUGACACACCAGCGUGUUCACAGUGGAGUGAGGCCAUUCAGCUGUUCCGUGUGCGGGAAGGGAUUCAUGAGCUCAUCUAACCUGGGGACCCACCAGCGGGUUCACACUGGGGAGAGGCCGUUCACCUGCUCUGUGUGUGGGAAAGGCUUCACUCAGUCAUCUGCUCUGCUGACACAUCAACUUGUUCACAGUGAUCAGAGAUUGUUUAAAUGCUCCGACUGUGAGAAGAGUUUCAAAGGACCAAUAAAUUUGCUCAAACACCAGCGAGUUCACACUGGGGAGAGGCCGUUCACCUGCUGUGUGUGUGGGAAGAGAUUCACUCGGUCGCAUAACCUGCACAGACACCAACGAGUUCACACUGGGAAGAGGCCUUUCAACUGCCCUGUCUGUGGGAAGAGAUUCACUUUUUCAUCUAACCUGAAGAGACACCAGAAGUUUCACAUAUGACAACAGGGGUUGGAUUCUGCUGUUAUUGCUGCUGUGAAUCACAUCCAGUUUUGAACUAUGUUCAUUUUGAGAGCUGGGGUUGGAUUUUCACUUCCUGACGAAGGUGAGAACUGGGACUUGUGCGACUUGAAAAUUACUUUCCUGGUCAGAGGCACUGGAUCCGCUGCCUCUGAGACAGUUUGUGAUUUUCAAAGCAUCAAUUAACUCACCAGCAAUUAACCGUCUGAUUAACCACCAAUGAACCAAUUUAAUCUCAUUAAAGAACUUGUUAAGGAGCCUGUCUGGAACAGAAUGGGAUUUUCAAUAUUUUAUUUGGAUUUAAAUUGAUUUAUGGGAUACAGGUUGUUUGCAAUAAAUCCCCAAUUGUGAAUGAAAUCAUCAGGUUCUACAGGACUUAACCAUCUGGCAGGAAUGAACACUUCAAAUGGUCAUUUCAAAAGAUACUAUCCGUCAAAAGGAAGUUAAUUUUCUUUCUUUUUUUGUGUGUAAAAUUUAUGGGGUAGACUUGUUCUGGUUUGAGCGCUGUACCUCAACUUGACGUCAGUGUGCACUUGUGUUGUCUUUAUUGUCCUGGUCAUUUCAUGAACUGCCAGCUCCCCUCUGCAAACCAGCAGCAAACCCCAAAAUGGCUGCUGUCUGCAUUUGCAGCUGGCGUCAGACAAGAAGCUCCCUCCCCCUGGAGGCACUUGGUGCCUCAGAUUGGAUGCUGAGCUCACCUCCUGCCAAAACAGCUCAUUUAUAUUUAAAAAUAGUGUCGCAAGAGCAAUGCAGUUCAGAUGCAGUGUCUGAACUUGGAAUUAAUCCAGUGUCAGGGUUCCAAACCUCUUUGAAAAUCCAGCCCUUGGGAGUUUAUUCUUCCUGAUGUUAAUAAUCCCUGCAACAGGGCUGGAGUUUAAUAUUCUGGUUAAAUGUCAAAUAAAUCAACUUGGUGUCCAA